CGCACAUCCAAUUGUUUUAACCCUCGAUUUUUUUCACAGCAUUUCCCUACACCUUCCACCUGUGACCUCCUGGCAGCCCGGUACUGUGCAUCCUCACCUCCCAGCUGUCACUGUAGUACCUCACACAGGUGAGGAAAGGCAGGAAGAUGAUUCUGUGGGAUGAGUGUUUUCCUCCACUUCAGCCAAUGACUUGAUUUUGAAAGCUGUGCCUGUAAGGGUGAUUUAAAGGUGUAACUUACAGCUACAGGCACAUCUGUAAGCAUGUUUCUGAAAACAUUCCCUGGAUUGGCUUUUCAUCACACUGUUAGCUCUGUUAGCACAUAAGUUCUACACAAUGAUGCAGCAGCAGCUACAAGUGACUGUCUCCCACCAAAGCCGCUGUCCUCUGAAGGCUACCAAAUCCUGCCCAACCUCCUUCCCUGAGGGAGGGCAGCCCACCCCUACUCACAAAUGCUACAACUUCAAACACAGAAGUAUAAUUCCCUCCCUCCAGAAGAAUCUUCUGUGGAGCAAAAACUCCAGCUCGAGAGGCACACCAACGUGAACCAUGAGGAAUAGCCCAGCAUGGAAUAGCAGGGAGCAGUUUGCAUGCCAGCACCACCGGAGCGAGACAAAAGGGCCAGCAGGCAAAAGAAGA
rnacentral:lncRNA from 1 species